UAAUACGAAGGGUGCAAGCGUUAAUCGGAAUUACUGGGCGUAAAGCGCGCGUAGGUGGUUCGUUAAGUUGGAAGUGAAAGCCCCGGGCUUAACCUGGGAAUUGCUUUCAAAACUGACGAGCUAGAGUACGGUAGAGGGUAGUGGAAUUUCCUGUGUAGCGGUGAAAUGCGUAGAUAUAGGAAGGAACAUCAGUGGCGAAGGCGACUACCUGGACUGAUACUGACACUGAGGUGCGAAAGCGUGGGGAGCAAACAGG
rnacentral:rRNA from 1 species